rnacentral:lncRNA from 1 species
GCACGAAGGAAGCUGGGCCGCGUCCCGCUCUACUGGGCCGCGGUGCUGCGGGGCUGCACAAUGCGCGAGGCUGGGCCGGUAAGCAGGUAAGGCUUUCCUUUUUCUUUUUUCUUUUUCCUUUUUCUGUUUUCUGUUUUUGCAAAUGCUUUUGGAUUCAAAUUUCAAAUACCAUUUUGAAAAGCCGAGAAGUAGAAGAAUUCAAAUAUGGCACUACUAUUUGGAAAUAUUCAAAUGGGGUUCAAGGUUUAAAACAAAAUCCAUUUGAAUCUCAUUUGCAAAAUAGAGAGAAAGGAAUUCAAACUCAAAGAAGGGUGAUUCAUAUUUGAAUCUUCUAGCAAAAUCACACAACAAGAAUUCAAACCACAAGUUGAGAUGCAAAUUUAAAACUCAUGUGACACAAUUAAAUAGACAUGGCAUGGCAUGGAUGAAAAUGUAACAUGUUAUGCAACAAGAAUUAAAUUAUAAACAGGUCCAA